rnacentral:rRNA from 1 species
UACGGAGGGUGCGAGCGUUGUCCGGAAUCACUGGGCGUAAAGGGCGCGUAGGUGGCCUGUGGAAGUCUGCGGUGAAAGCCCGGCGCUCAACGCCGGGUCGGCCGUGGAUACUCUCGGGCUCGAGCUUACUAGAGGCAGAUGGAAUUCCGGGUGUAGCGGUGGAAUGCGUAGAGAUCCGGAAGAACACCGGUGGCGAAGGCGGCCUGCUGGGCAGUUGCUGACACUGAGGCGCGACAGCGUGGGGAGCAAACAGG